rnacentral:sRNA from 1 species
UAGAUAAUCCGUUGGGUAGUCCGCAGC